rnacentral:lncRNA from 1 species
GAUCAGAAAUUCAAAGCCAGCCUGAGCUAGAUAGUAAAAGGUUUGUUUUUUUUUUUAAGUUAAAAAUAUUUUAAAUUAUUUCUGUUAAAUAAAUAAAAUUUUAAAACGUAAAAAUUCACAGCCCAAAAUUGUAUAUAUGGAAUGGGGUUGAUUACAUACCUCUAAUUUUGCAUGUACAGAACAAGACCGAUGGGGAAAAAAAAAUACAUCUAGAAUUAAACUUCACCCAGAAGGAUGGUGGGCCAAUGUAAUAGUCUCUUCCUCUCCCAGUGUAGUUCCAGUCCAGGGCUAAACAGUAUGGUGUGUGCCUCUGCUGCUCUUACAGGAAAGCGAGCAGGCAGAAAAGAUCAACAUCAGCCUUGCCUUCUUCCUGUAUGACCUCCUGUCAAUCAUGGACAGAGGCUUCGUGUUCAACCUCAUCAAGCAUUACUGCAGCCAGCUGUCAGCCAAGCUGAAUAUCCUUCCAACGCUCAUCUCCAUGCGGCUGGAAUUCCUGAGGAUCCUCUGCAGCCAUGAGCACUACCUCAACUUGAACCUCCUCUUCAUGAAUACCGACACCGCACCAGCAUCUCCCUGCCCCUCCAUAUCCUCCCAGGUAGUCUGCUAACUACAGGAAAGGGGCGAGCUGCUUUGUUAAUUAGCUUAGUUCAAUGGGGCAUCUCCUAUCUUACUAAUUAGAGGAAAAUCACACUAUUCAAACCAGAUCAGUUGAUCCAGAUAUGGGCUCUACGGUUCCCUGAAGCUGCAGCAUCUAAAUUGACCAUUUUCAAAUCAAGUAAUUUGGCACAAGGGUCCCUAAGGAGGUUAACUAUGUAGGAAGAAAUCUGUAAGCCUAGGAAAAUGAAGAAACACAGGUUAAGUCUCAAGUCCUCCACUGUCGACAUAAACCAAUUAUUGUACAAUAUAGUGUGCAAAUACAGGUUUAGUAUAUUUGCAAAUACAGGUUUGCAAUGUCUAGCAAGAUUCAGAAGCACUGUGUUAGCCUAGUCUCUUUGUCCGACAGCUUACAAAGGAAGAACUGCAGAGGGGGAGGGGCACGAGAUGAAAUGAUUCCCAAUAGGAUUUGACUGUGGCAAAUGUCCUUACUGCGUCGGCACCAGAGGUUUCUCAAGGAGUUAGUGUCCUCUAGAAAACCCUUAAAGAAAUGUUAUUUUAUAGCCCUAAUCCAGAUGUGGGAAACAAGGCAGAUGUUGACAGCAGUAGGCAAGAUAGCUCAGGAUGGUAUUAGAUUCUAUUCUGCUGCAUAUCCUUGGUACUAGUACAGAGGGAAAGGCUUGACAGUGAUAAGCGCCUUAAGUUCCAGGACUAAGAGGACGGGGGUGGGGAUCACAUGGGCCCAGGAGUUAGUUCCAGAUCAGCCUGAGCAUUAUAGUGAAGCCUCAUUUAAAAAUAAUAAUAAUAAUAAUAAGUCAUAGUAGUAGCUAUUUGUGCCUGACAAUAUACCUGAAGUUAGCUCCAUGACCAUUAUAAUGUGAUCUGGGACACACGUGACUUACAAGGACCAAUUCCAAAUGGACUUAUUAUUGUCUGCUGUCGUCUGUUCUGUGGGCUGAAUCCUAUAACUUCCCCAUGCUGACCUUGCCCUGGGUCCUCUCCCCAUGCUCCUCUUCUGGCUGCCCUAAAGAGUUGACAGACCCAGGGCCCCUACUCCACAGAGCUCCAGGACUUGCAGGGACACUUACUUCUGUCCCCGGUGAAGGAUGUCACGCUCCCGGAGUAAGAACACGGGACAGGAAUGGCCUAGGGCUGCCAACUCUGGCAUUGUCGUAGCAGACACCACUUCUGGUUCCAGGCCAGCUAACAUCCAGACACUGUGCUCAGAUGACCUUCAGAAAGGAUUCUGGGGAGACAGACCACAGCGAGGGACUGGGUACAGUCCUUAUUUCUCUGUCCACGUGUACCCUGGGCUGUUCAUCUGCAACUUUUAAUACCAGACAGGCAAGGGAGGGAUUAGCUAGUUUUCUUUGUUCUGUUUUUCCCAUUUUGCUGUUCUGGGGACCUGGUCAUAUCAGGCACAUUUCCCACCACUAAGCUUGACCCCUAGCCUAGUUUUCAUAGUCAUGUUCAUGUUGGCCAGUCAGUGCAUGCGCCGUCCGGCCAGAGCUCCGUAAAUGCAAGCCAGCACUGUUUUAAUUCCAGCUCUUCAUACUCAUAAAGCUGCCGUUGGUAUUUCUGUAGAACUCGAGUUCCUGCUCCAGUUUCCAGGACCAAAAGAUUGCCAGCAUGUUCGAUCUGACCCCGGAGUACCGGCAGCAGCACUUCCUUACAGGGCUGCUCUUCACGGAGCUGGCUGUUGCCCUGGAUGCUGAGGGGGAUGGGUGAGUAUCUGACGCCUAAAAUGGAACCUGAAGGGAAAGAUGUUAACAGCAUUCCCAGUUCAACUUCUUAUGUGUACAGCAAGACCUCAGAACUGUACCACUUACCAGUUCCAAGAAGAAGCACUCCUGUCUUAAGAAAGUGGUACUGGUGGAGUAUAGAGAGGCAAGGUGAUUAGAAGAUCCAUGAAAUGGGCUUCUUUUUACAGCACUGGCAGUUGAACUGAGAGCCUCUCACACUGUAGGCCAGUACUGUAUCAAUGAGCCACAUUCCCAGCCCCAAAUGUCUAUUGUUUGUUUGUUUUUUAUUUUCGUGACAGUUUCUCUGUGUAGUCCUGGCUAUCCUAGAACUCACUCUGUAGACCAGGCUUGCCUCAAACUCAGAAAUCUGCCUGCCUCUGCCUUCCAAGUGCUAGAAUUAAUGGUGUGCACCACCACCAUACCUGCCUCAGAAAGAGGUUUUGUUUUGUUUUGUUUUGUUUUGUUUUGUUUUGUUUUGUUUUGUUUUGUUUUGUUUUUCGAGACAGGGUUUCUCUGUAUAGCCCUGGCUGUCCUGGAACUCACUUUGUAGACCAGGCUGGCCUCGAACUUAGAAAUCUGCCUGCCUCUGCCUCCCGAGUGCUGGGAUUAAAGGCGUGUGCCACCACGCCCGGCUCAGAAAGACUUUUUAAAGUCCCUUGUUUGAGCAGAAUUUGCAGAGAAUGCUUUGCUGAGUGAAUUCCCUAAGGGCAAACCCAUUUUGCAGGGGAGGCUGCUGAGGUGGAACCCAGGGCUUUGCACACACUAAGCAGGCGCUCCUCCACUAAGCUAUCCCGUCAGCCCUAACAAGGUCACCUCUGACAAAGUGAGCACAGAGACGAAAUAAAUACCAGCAUGCCACUGUCCGAGGCUGGCAAAGGAAGUGACGGUGAAGAAGCCAGCUGUCUUGGGUCUAGAUGACGCUUCUUAUGGGCAAGCCUUCUCAGGCAAAGGCAGAUGCCAUAGGCAUGGGUCUCGUGAAUCUUCUCACUGUGUCCAUCCCUGAGCACCUGAGUGUAUGGCAGUGCCCGGACUUACUUGUUGGCUCUUGGCUUGUAUUCUGUCAUCUUUUCUCUGCUCUAACGACAUUCCAGUCUUCUCAGAAUUUUCUGUCCUAUAACUAACUUAUUUUCUCAGCAUCAAAAAGUGCCCUAGGAUAUAUGCUGAUAAGGUCCUGAAAGAAGAAAAUUUGCCUUGCAAUAUAAACAACCCCCCAUUUUCACUUUCUUAAUUGUUUUUAAUAAAUAGCAUGGCUUUAAGUAAUUUCUGAAACUAUCUUUUAUAUACACAGUAGCAGUAGUUUUUAAUUUUCUAUUUUUGUCCCAGUUGGAGACAUCCCUGCCGUCUGGUUUUGAUUCUUCUAAAAUCAUUGCUGGGAUAUUGCUAUAUAGCUUUAGCUGUUCCGGGCUUCACUAUGCAAACUAGACUGGCCUCAAACUUACAGAGAUCUGCCUGCCUCUGCCUCCCCCCACCACCACCCCCAGUACUGGAGUUAGAGGCAUGUGCCACCAUGCUGAGCUCCUAAUAUUUUUGAAGAGCAAAAGGUUGAAAUAGACAUUUUCCAAAGAAUGCGUGGUCAAAAGCACACAAAAAAGGUGUCCAGAAUCUCUAACAGUCAGGCAGUGCUUCAUUAAAACAAUGAUUAUAUACCACAUUCUGCCUACUAGAAUAGUUUGAUCAACAAGACAGACAGCCAGGGAUGUGGCUCAGUGGUAGAUCUCUAGCAUGUGCUAAGGUCUGGGUUCCAUCCCCAGCACUUUAAAAAAAAAAAAAAAGAAAGAAAAGAAAAGAAAAGAAAGAAAGAAAAAAGAUGGUUG